rnacentral:lncRNA from 1 species
CCUUUUGAACUAAUCACAAGCUCACCCCUCUCGCUUCGCCUCCAAAGCCCCUACCCGCCGCCGCCGCCGUCGCCCGUCGGCCGCGAGCCGCUGAUUCCGGGUCGUCUCCGGCGGGAGGAUAUGCUCCGGCGUCGUCUCGUGAUGCGCCAGCUCCCAUGGAUUGUACCGAUGCGGGAGCAGCGUCGGGAUGAUGUCAGGGUGGCAUGGGAGGAGGGAGACCUUGCGACGGAGGAAAUGGACGACGAGCUCUUCAUCCGAGGGGAAGAAGUGGAAACCUGGAGGGCAUGUCCGCCACUGGAAGCCGGUGCUCUGCUGCUGCUGCUGCCGGGGGGAAUCAAUGGAACGCCAUUGCCGUUGCCAGCACACUUCUUCUGUCUGAAUGAGCAAGAUUGCACUGCACUGUUCAUUGGUCAAUAUCAGAUUUGCAAUUACCAUCAGAUUGAUCAAGUGGGAGUAAAAAGGUGGCUGGUGGUGAAGGAUGAGAAAGAGGAGGGCAUACGAGGCCACAUUCUGCCAAUGGCACCUGAGCUAUGCAAAAUAUGCCGCUCGUGGGCAAUUGUUGCUGCUGCAGCAGCAGCAGCCUUCCUCCACUUCCACCACCGGCGCCACAAGAAAAGACGACGACGACCGACGCCGACGCCGACGAUCGACGAGGUGAUACCGAGCUUGGUGCGGUGGUGA